AGUAAUGAUGAUUUCUGGUGAUUCUGAGUGUCUCGCUGACGCCGUCACCGCAGCGCGCUGACC
rnacentral:snoRNA from 1 species